UCUGGGAGAACUCAAUGGUGUCUGCCAGCAUCUGUGUCAGCACAUCCACACCAGAUCACAACAAUGGCUGCAGUCCCUGGAGAGAUCUCACCUCUCACCGAGAUGUACCCAAAGCCUAUCAGAUUUUCAGAGUAAUAUAAAUGAAGAGGAAGUAGAAAAUAUGAGAAGUUUUACACAUGAGAUACAAAUUCAGUCAGUGGAAAACAAUUAUUGAUCAUAAAUAAAAGACUUUCUCCUUGACCGGAUUGUCUGGGGAUUAGAAGAGAAUUGCACGAAGGAAUGACUUCUUUGGGUUGAAGUUCAUUCAUGUCACGACUAAAAUCCUCUGGGAACAACCCGGAGACAGGACCCACACUCUGGGAAACAGUGAUCUGCAUUGAAAAUAAAGGAAUACCACAGGAAGUGGGGGCAGGGGGUCAAAACGUCACAAGUGGAAAGCAGGAUGCUGAAUCUUGAGUUAUGCGUUGAGAGAUUAGAGAGAGGAGGAGCUGAGGAGGAGCCAGCCGUGGCGGGAAUGUGCUGAGCUGUCGGAAUGGCCUGUGGCUGGGACGCUACACAAGUAAAAGUGAUACUAAGUGACAAGAACAAGCAGUUGGAAAAAGCCUGCCUUAAAAGGAGGUUUGCAACACACGAGCUUACGAUUACCAAAUGGUGAGUAAAACAGGCAGCCUGACGUUACCGUUUCUCCUGCUCUCUAACGUAAACAUCACCGUGUACUCGUAACGCGUUUGCUCUGGUCCUAUUCUCUGUAGGCACGGAGACUGUGUCAGCACUCUCUAUUCUACUUAAAAAAAAAAAAAAAAAAAACAACUAAUAAUUGUAAUAAACACUUCUUGAAAAAUACCGCUGGUUUGAGUUUACAUUUGGAAACUUUUUAAAUGAACUACAAGCAGGUAAAAUUCUGCUUUUUAAUCUAGACAGUUCUCUGGGGGAAAGUAAGAAAAACAGAAAUUAAGCUACUGUACAGACCAGCACAGAAAUGAGAUUGUGUUAAAAAGAAAAGGGAACGAGCCUGUGCUUCCUCAGCGGCCGCGAGGAGCCCUGCCAGCAUGGACUGCAGCUUCAGCGCCAGCAUCUCCGAGUCGACAACAGCUGCUAACCAUGCGCUCUCUACCAGAGCAUAUCAACCCACUUUGUAAGUAUUGUAGAGUGUAUCACAAUGUGUAGCUUAGAAAGGGCCUGGGCUCAAAUCCUGGCUUCGCCACUUAUGACUUCACAGACAAGAAAGGUAUUUAAUUGCCCUAUGUUCGAAUUGCCUCAUCUGUGAAGUGGAGGUAACGUUAUUCUCUACCUCAUCCAGUUGUUAGGAUUGGUUAAGAUACUAUGUGUAAGUCACUUAGCAUAUUGUCUGGCCCAUAGCAAGAGCUUGUUAAGUGUUAUAUAAUUACUAAUAGGAGAAUUUCUUCCUACUGCUUAGAAAAAGACUGUUGUCAAAUACCCUUCUUCCCAAUUAACAAUAGUUCUGAAAGGGAGAGGAGAUGUGUGGUAAUGAGCCCUUAGUUCUCUUUGGAUGACCUUUGAGAAAGGAUUGUCAGUCACUGACAUUUUUAGGUUCUUUCCAAUUUCCCCUUUUAUUCUCUUGAGUAACAUUUUUAGGCCUAAUAGAUAUUUAAUAUUUCCUUAUAGAUCCUUACUAUUUCCCUCACGCUCUGAGUUGUUCAGCUGUAGUAUAUUCCACAACACCAACUGAGCCCCUGCCAUGUUCCAGGGACUGAGGCAGUGAUGUGGUUUCAUAUAUGAUUUCUCUGCAUAGUAUCAAAACUACCGAUUCCUUGGGAAGAAACAAAAAGUGAAUCCAAAAUUCAAAAUUAGUGGUUUCAAGAACACAAUUAAAAACUAUGAAACUAACUUUGUGUUAGAUUAACUCAUAUCUCUUUCAUUGUCAAAGUACCAGGUAAUUUAUCUAGAUUUUUUAUAACAUGUAUGGAAUUUCAAGUUAUUAUAUCAUAGUACCAACAAAUAGAUUAUUCCAAUCAUGUAUCCUAAACAAGCACUAAUAUUGUAUUGUGUCAACGAAUUUUGCAUAUGUGGAAAUACAAGCCAUAUAGAGUCAUAAUUUAAGAAAGAUCAAGACGUUUAGCCGUGCCCACUUGCACCACUGUAACCCUGUGCUAUUGUUUAUACAUAAAAUUACCAUUCACUAACACUUGAGAAAGCCCUUUGAGUUAUUUCCAAUAAAGUAUUCAGUCGGAGAAGAAAUGCAAAGGAUUUUCAGUAUAUAUUGAAUAGUAAGUUGUAGGAACAAGAAAGUGUGGAAAUGCAUGCACUGUUAUAUUUCCUUAUUAAUUCCUGUCACUCAGAUUACCCAAGAAUUCUCUCAAACUUAAUCACAAAACAUAUCCUGACCUUUAACAGCUAGCAGAGCUGAAAUGUUAACCUUCAACGUUUUGCUAAAUUCUUCUUUAAACACUUCCUCUGGAAAACACACAGCUCAAAGUGCUAAAAUUGUCUCCUAUAAUAACCACAGCAGGAUCGGAGCAAACCCGCUUUUAAAAACCAAAUAAAGCCUUCCGUGGGGGUGGUUCACCACUUCCCCUUUUUUAACAUGCAGAAACUAAUUUAGCUGAGAAGAUAAAAGCAAGAGCUGCCUACAGAUGUACAAGGAAACUAAAUCCUAGAACAUGAAACGCCUCAGUGGCAGGGGGGU